CAAUAAUAUGCGCCCCUAGAGUUAUCAUGGUAGCUCAUCGAUCAUGGCUGUAGCGGGACCACCUCCGGCUUCGUUGGCACUACCUCCGGCUUUGGUGGAAGCUCACCAGCCAGCACCGGAGGUGGCAGCUCCGGCUUCGGGAGUUCGGGUUGGGGCAGGGGCUGUGGUGGCACCGGCAAUGGCUCCGGCUUCGGCAGGGGUUGUGGUGGCACCGGCAAUGGCUCGGGCUUGGGCAGAGGUUGUGGUGGUACAGGAAGCGGCUCAGGCUUGGGCAGGGGUUGCGGUGGCACCGGCAGUGGCUCCGGCUUCGGCAGGGGCUGUGGUGGCAUCGGCAACGGCUCCGGCUUCGGCAGGGGCUGCGGUGGCAGUGGCAGUGGCUCAGGUUUGGGCAGAGGCUGUGGUGGCACCGGCAGGGGCUCCGGCUUCGGCAGGGGUUGUGGUGGCACCGGCAGUGGCUCGGGUUUAGGUAGGGGCUGCGGUGGCACCGGCAACGGUUCUGGCUUCGGCAGGGGCUGCGGUGGCACCGGCAGUGGCUCCGGCUUCGGCAGGGGCUGUGGUGGCACCGGCAGCGGCUCGGGUUUAGGUAGGGGCUGCGGUGGCACCGGCAGUGGCUCCGGCUUCGGCAGGGGCUGCGGUGGCACCGGCAGCGGCUCGGGUUUGGGCAGGGGCUGCGGUGGCACCGGCAGGGGCUCCGGCUUCGGCAGGGGCUGCGGUGGCACCGGCAGCGGCUCGGGUUUGGGCAGGGGCUGCGGUGGCACCGGCAGCGGCUCAGGGUUUGGCAGGGGCUCAGGAUUCGGUAGGGGCUGUGGUGGCACCGGCAGCGGCUCAGGGUUCGGCAGGGGCUGCGGCGGCACCGGCAAGGGCUCAGGCUUCGGUUCUUCAGGCUUGGGAAGAGGCGGCAGGUCAGGCUUCGGGAGCUCCUGCAUCCGCCGCGCCGCGUUGCUCAUGCCACCGCAUGAGAGCAGCAACGCCAGGACGAGCACGAAGGAGGACAUGGUGUUCGUGGAAGCCAUGGCG
rnacentral:lncRNA from 1 species